AAGGCAGCUACACGGUGACGUGAUGCUAAUCCCGAAAGCCUCUCUCAGUUCGGAUUGGAGUCUGCAACCCGACUCCAUGAAGCUGGAUUCGCUAGUAAUCGCGCAUCAGCCACGGCGCGGUGAAUACGUUCCCGGGCCUUGUACACACCGCCCGUCAAGCCAUGAAAGCCGGGGGGUACCUGAAGUGCGUAACCGCAAGGAGCGCCCUAGGGUAAAACUGGUGAUUGGGGCUAAGUCGUAACAAGGUAUC
rnacentral:rRNA from 1 species